AUUGAGUUUGAUCCUGGCUCAGAGUGAACGUUAGUAAUAUGCUUGACACAUGCUAGUUAAAUGCUUUAAAAAGCAUAGCGUAAAGGUGAGUAAAGUGCAAGAAAUUACCCCCUGGUUUGGGAAAAAACACCAAAUAGUUUUAGAGAUAAAUACAAAAAGAUUUAUAUCGCCAGCGGACAUGCUUGUAAAGGAUUAGGUAGUAGGUAAGUUAAUAGCUUAAUCUAGCCAACGAUCUUUAGUUGGUUUGUAAGAACGAUCAACCACACUAGAACUGAGACAAGGACUAGACUUUUUUGAAAGUCAGCAGUGAGGAAUAUUGGACAAUGAGCGAAAGCUUGAUCCAGCAAUAUUACGUGAAGGAUUGACAGCUUAUUUUUGGUUGUAAACUUCUUUUAAUAAGAGAGACGAUGACUAGCUUAAAAAAAAAGUCCCAUCUAAUUUCGUGCCAGCAGAUGCGGUAAUACGAAAGGGGCAAACGUUAUUCGAUGUAAUUUGGUGUAAAGCGUUUGUAGGUGGUAAUAAGGCAGUUUAAAAGUAAAUUAAAAGACUCAAUCUUUUUUCAAAGAUUUUAAAAACGCUAUUACUUUGAGUAUAAAAAAGGAUUAUAGAAUUUUAAAGGGAGAAAUAAAAUUUGAAGAGCUUUAAAGGAAUACCGAAAGCGAAGGCAAUAAUCUAGUUUAUUUUACUGACAUUGAGAAACGAAAGAAUAGGGAGCAAACUGGAUUAGUGACCCAGGUAGUCUAUUCUGUAAACGAUGAAUGCUUGUAUUUAGGAUAUAAAAUCUUUGAUACUUAGUUAACACAUUAAGCAUUCCACCUGAGGAGUAUAUUCGCAAGGAUGGAACUCAAAGGAAUUGACGGGGGCUUAUACAAGUGGUGGAGCAUGUAGUUUAAUUCGAUAAUACACGAGAAACCUUACCAGUUUUUGAAUUUUUAAAUAAAGUUUUAUUUUAAAACACUCUUUUAUACGUAAAACUUUCUUAUUUACAGGUGUUGCAUGGUUGUCGUCAGUUCGUGUUGUGAAAUGUUUGGUUAAUUCCUUUAACGAACGAAACUUUUUUUUUUAAUUGCUCUUUUUUGAAAUGCACUUUAAAAAUACUUUUUAUGAUGAAUAAAAGGAAGGAAAAUUACGUCAAAUCUUCAUGGUCUUUAUAAACUGGGCUACAUACGUGCUACAAUGGUAACUACAAAACGAAGCAAUAAUGCGAAUUGGAGCAAAUCGUAAAAAAGUUAUCCUAGUUCAGAUUGUUGACUGCAACUCGUCAACAUAAAGUUGGAAUCACUAGUAAUCGUAAAUCAGCAUGUUACGGUGAAUUUGUACCUAAGCCUUGUACAUACCGCCUGUCACAUGCCGGAAGUUAUUUUUACUUGAAAAAUUUUUAAAUAAUUUUUAGAUUAAUGUUUAAAAAAUUUAUUUUUUAAAGCGGAAAUAGUAACUGGGAUGAAGUCAUAACAAGGUAGCCGUAUGUGAACAUGUGGCUGGAA
rnacentral:rRNA from 1 species